rnacentral:rRNA from 1 species
UCAGAAUGAACGCUGGCGGCGUGCUUAACACAUGCAAGUCGAACGAGAAAGGGAUUGCUUGCAAUCCUGAGUAGAGUGGCGCACGGGUGAGUAACACGUAAAUAAUCUACCUUCAAGUUUGGGAUAACUGUUCGAAAGGGCAGCUAAUACCGGAUGAAGUUUUACCACAUAAGUGGUGUUAUGAAAGAUAGCCUAUCCUUGGAAGCUAUUGCUUGGAGAUGAGUUUGCGGACCAUUAGCUUGUUGGUGGGGUAAAGGCCUACCAAGGCUGCGAUGGUUAGCUGGUCUGAGAGGAUGAUCAGUCACACUGGAACUGGAACACGGUCCAGACUCCUACGGGAGGCAGCAGUGAGGAAUUUUGCGCAAUGGGGGAAACCCUGACGCAGCAACGCCGCGUGAGUGAAGAAGGCCUUUGGGUCNUAAAGCUCNUCAAUUGGGAAGAAAUUGUAAAUAUCCAAUAGGUAUUUACAUUGACGGUACC